rnacentral:lncRNA from 1 species
CCAUUUUCCAUACCGUGUUUUUGGCUUGUCCUGAAUCACUAGGGUGCACCUAUAAUAAGUGUUUAUAUUCGGACUAUUUUAGAUUGCUUCGGUGGGUACCGCGGCGGAGUAACCCAGUACCUUUGUGAUUCUUCAUAGACAUAAACAGAGAGAAGUAGUUCCGGCUACGAUGUUCUUCCGCAAGACGCAAGCAGUUCUGUUCAUUAACCGCUAGAGCGUCAAAAGUUCCCUACCGCAGCUUUAAUACCAUUCUUAUUGAUUUUUCCUUUGAUUGGCACCCAUAACAGUAUUUGUGUGUGGAUUAAUUGUUUGCUUUGAAGGGCUUUUUUGUAAAGUGCCUGUAAACUAUAAACUCAAACACUUUUGUGAAAAUGUACCACAGCAUUCAUUUCAUUCUCUUUUGUCUUUAUAGUUAUCCAAGGUCAUGAGGAGCAGGUUUACAGUGCUGCUUCAAUACAGCAAACAACAGAUUAUGUUGAAGGUCAUUUGCCUGCAUAUCAUUUCUCGCUCUUCUCAUGAGAUGAUCCGGUGUAAGUGUGUGUUCCAGCACUAGUGGAAAGCUCAGACGUUUCCACCCAAAGCGACUGGCCGAUGUCCAGCCUGCCACGCUUUUGUUUUUCCUUUGAAAACUUCAGCUGAAAUACUAAAUCCCUGAAAUUGUUAACGAGCUCUGACCUACAUUCCACAGCUCAGACUUUCUCUCUCUGUUUGUGUCCUUCAUUUGAACAUGCAUCACUAGUUAGAGUUUUGAAAUUGUAUUAAUAGGUCAUAGCCUAAUAACUGUGUAGAACUGUGUAGUUUCUGUGUCCCAAGCAAAUGUGCAAGAAUGAUGGUUUUUUUUUUUUUAAUUGAUUGAAUAUUUUACUCUGCCUCAUUCAUUAACAUUAUAUUAUUCAAUUUUGACUUAGAUUUUAAUAUUUCGUUUGCGGAUUUCAUUUGUUUUUUAAGAUAUGUAUAGUAUUUAUAAAUAUAGUGUUUAUUUAGUUUUAGUUACUUUAGUAACUUGAGCUCAAAUAAAAUGAUAAAUAUUAAAUGUUUUUUGUUUUGUUUUGUUUAAUCAAAAAAUAUAGGAUAUUGUGAUAACGUCUCUGUUACAUAUGGUAACCCUCGUUCCCUGAAGGAGGGAACGGAGACGCCACGUCGGUGACCGACGAAUAUGGGAUAUCGCUUCGAUAGACCAAUCUACUUUGAGUGUAAACUAAACGAGCCAAUGCACAAUGGCAUGCAAUUAUUGCAUCCAGCUGCCGCUGAUCACUGCGUGAGU